rnacentral:lncRNA from 1 species
ACCGUUCAAUUAGGAGGGGAGUAAAGGGAAGGGAAGGGAAAAAAAGAUGGGAAAGAAUCCUACUCCUUGAAUUACAAAUCCAAGAGUAAUGGUAUAGGUAAAUUCUCUUAAAAGUGGGCUUUGAACUUUUUAUCAUCUCAUAUUUUGCAUCAUGUUCUGUUGAUGCACAAAACUGGAGGUCUUGGAACAACGUAAAUCCAACCGUGAAUCUGCAAGAAAUGUAAAUAACACAAGAUGUAUUGUGGUUCACCCUAAGGUUUGGGUUACGUCCACACUGAUUGUAUUUCUCUGACUGUAUGUAUGGAUUACAAGGGUGAGGGGGAGUCCCCCGGAGAAAGAGAGUGUUGUUGUGUUUGUGAGAGUAUUGCCCUCUGUUGGGUUUUCUCUGUCCCAUUUGUGAGGGGAGAGGAGUCCCCUUUUAUAGAAUAAGGGGCUCCUCCUUUUACAUAAUCAUAUGGGCUGGAUAAUGAGGCCCAAUGUAUCAAAGUAUGAGGCCCAAUAUGUGUGGUACCAACAGUAGUCCCCCAAGUCUUCAGUCAAGAGAGUCUUUUGGCUGGAGACUUCAAAUCCAAUCCAUGUACGGGCCGAAGUGGCUAGAUGUCUUGAAUUAGUACUCAACCCAAGGCAAUACUCAACAUAAAACAAUACUCGGCUAGAGGUAUCACACGUUACGAGACUGCUUGGUUGGAGGCGAUGCUCGUUGCGAGGCUGCUCGGCUAGAGGUUAUGCUCGCGGCGAGGCGUUUGCUCGACUGGAGUCGAUGCUCGUUGCAAGGCGGCUUGGCUAGAGGCUAUACUCACUACGAGACGGCUCGGCUCGUGGUAUUCCUCAUUGCAAGUAUCUACUUUAUGUCAACAUGCACUCAGUAUGAGUUGAUUCUCGACAUGACUCGGGUCCGCUUGUCGGGUUUGCAUAUUGGGUCUAUGUGUCGGAUUCGCAGAUCGGGUCCGCAAGUCGGGUCUUUGAGUCGGGGCCAUACAUAGGGUCAUCGAGUUGGGGCUAUCUGUAGGGUCAUCGAGUUGGGUCCAGGCACAUAGGUGUCCCAAUAAGCGAAUGUCCGAGCAAGUGGGCGUCCGGUCCGACAAGAGAUCAUCGUUGGACUAAAUCUUUGUCACCAUAAGCAUGUGGCUCAGUGAUCUAUAGGCUGAUCAAUAGUAUCGGUAUGCUUCUUUAAUUAGCAACAAUGUUGAUCAACAAAGUCUGUGCCAUGAACCUCCAAAAUUAUGUCACCUUAACAUUCAAAUAAUAAAAGGUGUAAUUUGGUCAGACUUGUCACAUGUUAUGGAAAAUAGUCAUGUGAUAAAUCAUUAAUAAUAAUGUAAAACAUAUUAUUAUAACAUGUCACCCCGUUCGUUUAGGUAGUAAUGCAAUUUGUAUAACAGUAAAAUACUGAUAGUAGUAAUGAUGUGUAUGCGUCGUGACCCGACAUAAUUAGUACACAGCAGUACUGGAAAAGCAGAUAUUGUGAGGUGCCGCACUAUAUGCACACAGAUCAUGAAAGCAAAUAAUAUAUUGCUAACUAUGCAUUAAAAUAUAAGUGUGAUAGAAAUGAUGUGGUCUCCUCAAAGAAUAUGCAUACUGUAAAGCGUCCAUCAACACAAAAUAAUAAUAAACUAUUAAAUAAUAAAUUAGUUCACGAAUAAUUAAAUAAUAAACUAUUUAAUAAUAAUGUGGUCUCGUUUGCUAUUGCACAAGCAGUGGAACGUGAUGACAGCCAUGAAAGAAAUAAUGUGGUCUCUAAUAUGCAUACUGUAAAGCAAAAUAUCUUAUCAAAAUAAUGAUAAAGUAAUAAAAUAAUAAAGAAAAAGAUCUUAUCUUGCUAAAGAGAUGGGAUCUCUGUAUUGGGAACCCAAAAGCUUCUUUUCCCUUCCUCUCAAGUAGCUGGCCAACCUUUGUCAGUCCUGCAAUUUCCGAGUCAAGCAUCCAGGCCGGCGACGCUGAGUCCGGUCAGACCGAGAGAGUGGAACGUGUCCAGCUGAGAGUUACGGCGUGACGGAGCUGUAACGGCAUUGGGACGGAGCAGCGAGUUGGAAAAUGACCAGUCGAAGUUGUGGUCCAUGAGGCAGUAGGAAAAUGACAUGCUACUUGAAUUGGGAUGGAAACGAGAGUGAGCCGCCGUCGAGUCCGAGAAGCCCAGCUGCUCCGACGAACAGGCCCUCGUUGGUGUGGCCACAGCCGAUGGCAAUCCUCUUCGUCGAAGUCCCGCCUAUGCUGAUUGUCUCCGUCACAAAGUCGCCGUCGAUCUUGAAGAGGUACUCCUCCCCUAAACCCUCAUCGUCUGAAGACGACAUCUCGCUCGCCUUUUCUCCCUGGUUCUUGCUUGCUUCUUCUUCUUUCUUAGGUCAAGGAGGCUGACAGUGAGCGAGCGUCGGUGACUGGCGCGGCAGCUCGAGACAUGGGAAUUCCGGCAUCGAAGUCCAUGGCUCCGUCGCCGGUGAGAGAGAGACAGUAAGUUAAGUCGUCGUCAGCAGCGUCACUUUAGCAAACCCCACCGGAAUUCCCAUUCAUUCACUCACCCUCGCCCCCUCAACUACCCGGCACUUUACCCGAAUCUCCCUCUCAACGAUCAGACACACACGCACACACACUAUAUCUCUCCUCUCUCUCCUCUCUCUCUAUCUAAACCAGACCAAACAAAGAAAACAGAUAGCCAAAUUAACAAGAAUAACAGCUUUCUAGAGAGAGAAACUUUUACAUGGAGAGAGAGAAAGUAGUUUUAAGAGAGAGAUGAUGAGAGGGACAGAGAGAGAGAAAGCGGUGUGUUCUUCAAUCCCUCGGUAGGUGUUUGGUUUCUUCUGUUUUGCAGAUUCACGGCGGAUAUGAAAAAAUGAAAGAGAAUCGACACAAUUUUUUGUAUCAUUUUUCAUAAAUGACACCAAAUGUUGAUGCACAAAACCGGAGGUCUUGGAAUAACGUAAAUCCGACCGUGAAUCUGCAAGAAAUGUAAAUAACACAAGAUGUAUCGUGGUUCACUCCAAGAUUUGGACUACGUCCACACUGAUUGUAUUUCUAACUGUAUAUAUGGAUUACAAGGGUAAGGGGGAGUCAGGGAGAGAAAGAGAGUGUUGUUGUGUUUGUGAGGGUAUUACCCUCUGUUGGGUUUUCUUUGUCCCAUUUGUGAGGGGAGAGGAGUCCCCUUUUAUAGAAUAAGGGGCUCCUCCUUUUAUAUAAUCAUAUGUGCUGGGUAAUGAGGCCCAAUGUAUCAAAGUAUGAGGUCCAAUAUGUGUGGUACCAACAUGUUCUAUAAAUUUGGCACGAGAAUUACUAUAAAAUUGUAAAGUGGUUGGAAGUAUGUGAAAAGUUCUACUUUGAGAGAGUUUCUUUAGCAUUUCUCACAAAUCCAAAAUCAAAUAAUAAUGAUAAAAAUGCUAAGGAAAUUUUCUUAAAGUGAGAUUUUUCAUGGUCCCUUUGUCACUUUAGAGUUUAACAUUAAUUUUUGUUUCAAUAUUAUAAAACGCUGUAAAAAAAAAAAAUAUGAGAUGAUAAAGAGUUUAUAGAGAAAUCUACUUUUGAGAAUCUCCUUAUCAUUUAUUAAUAAUAGAAGUGAUUUGUUGGAGUAAGUAUGUUUUUAUUUAAAUAUUUUAAUUGCUAUGUAUUUGUCCGUUGUGGUUUUAUAUUUUAGUUUAUUACAACCAUUAAAUGUAUAUAACCUAAAUUGAUUUUUAACCUUAUCUUUUGAUAAGGAGUAAUCUCCUUCACUAACCUAUGAAACGUGAGAAAGCUUCUCACAUUAAAUAAUUAGAUGGAAUUCCUUCUUUGAAUAGAGAAGAUGAUCAGGUCCCCAUUCAUUAUUUUGUUCCGUUUUGAAUAUUUACUUUUUGAUUUCGUCUGUUUUGGUUCUUUAAGGUUUUCAGGUCCCUGAUUCUGUCAAACUUGCAACAUAUACUUUAUCUUUUUGUAUAUAUAUAGGUUCCUUGUACUGAAGGAAUAUAUAGAGAAACAACAGCUUAUAUAUUUUUCUUAAAAAUUGAGUUCUAAAGCAACAUAUAGAAAGGGUGUGAGUUUAAAGUACUAAGAAAUAUCAAGUUCAAGUUGGUCAUCCAUUAUUUCAAUUCUUCAAAACUGCAUUGAUGUGUACACUCCUAUAGUCCUUGAAGCUUCACUAAUACUAAUAGUUCACCGGACUAAGCCUUUUACAUUUCUCGAUAACGUAAAAACGAGCCAAAAAACUCAACCAUCAGAAAAUGACGAUAUUACCUUUUAAAAUGUAUCGCAUGUAAGUAACAUGACUUAAAUGAACAUAAAAUUAAAUAAAAUAGAUUCGAAUCUUUAUAAUAGGGAUGAAGUUAGUAGGUUUUUUAAUGAGUUUAAAGAUUUAUUUUAUCGCAAAAAUAGUUUAGAGACUUAAUUUCACUCAGAUAAUAAUCAGUGACCAAAUCGGCAGUUUACUGUGUAUUUAAAGCUAAAAAUGAGACAAAUUUUAGGAGCAACACAUGUGAAAGUAUAAAACUACAAACUUUGGCUUUGAAACAAUCCUCUUCCAUUUCCUCACCUUUCCGGAUUCUAUUGCAAUUGGCAUUGCCAGGGUUGGUUGGUUUUCAUCUCAGAUGUCAUUUACUCUCUACUAGGACAUCUCAAUGUGAGAUCAAAUGAGAUUAAACACAUGAGAUUCGAGGCACAUAAUGUGAUCUAGAGUGCCCUUAUACAUCAUUCAGUACCCAAUAUAUACUGACCUAUUACAAUAGCUCAAUAAUAUUACAACAUCUGUUCAUUUAAAUUCAUAACCAAACACUAAUUCCACUUUGUACUCAUAACCAAACACCCCUUUUUUUAGUUUUCUCUUAUCCGUGCCGUUGCAAAUAUGAUCAACCUCAUCUUCUUCCAUGUCAAUCAAUACAAAACCUUCCAUGAAACCAUUUCAUGAUUCGUUGUCACCUUCCUCCCCCACUGACAUGGCUGCCAUGAGAAAUAAGGGGACGGAUUGGGGGUGGAGUCGAUGGUAGAGACGAGUGGGAAU